CGAACGGGGAGAUUCAUCGUCAGCGACGCUGGCUUCGCGUCGGUGGGCGAUGUCCCGCGGGGCCCUCUCCGGGGUUCGCGGCGCGGACACGCCGCCGUGCGUCGAUGCCCGGCGUUCGUCGUCGUGCACUUCUCCCCUAGUAGAACGUCGCGACCCGCUGGGUGUCGGUCUACGGCCCGAGUGAGGUGACUGACGCGUCGCCGGUCAAACGGCAACGCGUCAAACCCUCGGUCGCCCGGCCGGCUGCCCGGCGGUACACGCAAGGUAUCAGGCCGCAUUCUUUUUCAGUGCGUCGAGGCCGUCGCAAGCGCGCGCCACGGUACACGGAUGUUUAACGGACCUAGCGCCGUCACCGGUCCUGGCCCGCUGUUGGCUCGUACGGUUAACCUUCGACAGGCCUGCGAACGUCCCCCCGGUUAGCGCGGCGGGGGUAAAACCCCGUGCGGCGCGCCGGUGCGGGGCCGAUACCGGUCGGCGACGCUACUGCUUUGGGUACUCUUAGGACCCGUCUU
rnacentral:rRNA from 1 species